AUGCUUCAUGAUAGUUCAUUCUACACAAAGACCUUGGUCAUCCAAAAAGAUGUUCCUACUGAAGGAGGGAUCUUCCAGGACAAGACUGGCGAGUAACAGUCACGAGAGAGGUUUAGUAAAUGCGGCUGACGCUACAAAUUAUACAGGAUCUUGCAAUCGCAGCAUUAGCAUACUCAAGGUUUGUAUGUCCAGAAAAGCCAUUCGUAUACCGCGGCUGACAG